rnacentral:rRNA from 1 species
AUUGAACGCUGGCGGCAUGCUUUACACAUGCAAGUCGAACGGUAACAGGUUAAGCUGACGAGUGGCGAACGGGUGAGUAACGCAUCGGAACGUGCCCGAUCGUGGGGGAUAACGCAGCGAAAGCUGCGCUAAUACCGCAUAAGAUCCGAGGAUGAAAGCGGGGGACUUUAUAGCAAUAUGAGGCCUCGCGCGAUCGGAGCGGCCGAUGUCAGAUUAGGUAGUUGGCGGGGUAAAGGCCCACCAAGCCGACGAUCUGUAGCUGGUCUGAGAGGACGACCAGCCACACUGGGACUGAGACACGGCCCAGACUCCUACGGGAGGCAGCAGUGGGGAAUUUUGGACAAUGGGCGCAAGCCUGAUCCAGCAAUGCCGCGUGCAGGAAGAAGGCCUUCGGGUUGUAAACCGCUUUUGUACGGAGCGAAAAGGUCUUCUCUAAUAAAGAAGGCUGAUGACGGUACCGUAAGAAUAAGCACCGGCUAACUACGUGCCAGCCGCCGCGGUAACAC